AGAGUUUGAUCCUGGCUCAGAUUGAACGCUAGCGGGAUGCUUACACAUGCAAGUCGAACGGCAGCACGGACUUCGGUCUGGUGGCGAGUGGCGAACGGGUGAGUAAUGUAUCGGAACGUGCCCAGUAGCGGGGGAUAACUACGCGAAGGCGUAGCUAAUACCGCAUACGCCCUACGGGGGAAAGCGGGGGAUCGUAAGACCUCGCACUAUUGGAGCGGCCGAUAUCGGAUUAGCUAGUUGGUGGGGUAAUGGCUCACCAAGGCGACGAUCCGUAGCUGGUUUGAGAGGACGACCAGCCACACUGGGACUGAGACACGGCCCAGACUCCUACGGGAGGCAGCAGUGGGGAAUUUUGGACAAUGGGGGCAACCCUGAUCCAGCCAUCCCGCGUGUGCGAUGAAGGCCUUCGGGUUGUAAAGCACUUUUGGCAGGAAAGAAACGGCGCCGGAUAAUACCUGGCGCAACUGACGGUACCUGCAGAAUAAGCACCGGCUAACUACGUGCCAGCAGCCGCGGUAAUACGUAGGGUGCAAGCGUUAAUCGGAAUUACUGGGCGUAAAGCGUGCGCAGGCGGUUCGGAAAGAAAGAUGUGAAAUCCCAGGGCUUAACCUUGGAACUGCAUUUUUAACUACCGGGCUAGAGUGUGUCAGAGGGGGGUGGAAUUCCACGUGUAGCAGUGAAAUGCGUAGAUAUGUGGAGGAACACCGAUGGCGAAGGCAGCCCCCUGGGAUAACACUGACGCUCAUGCACGAAAGCGUGGGGAGCAAACAGGAUUAGAUACCCUCGUAGUCC
rnacentral:rRNA from 1 species